rnacentral:tRNA from 1 species
GCCCAGAUAGCUCAGCUGGUAGAGCACUUCCAUGGUAAGGAAGGGGUCGGGGGUUCGAGUCCCCCUCUGGGCU